rnacentral:rRNA from 1 species
UACGUAGGGUGCAAGCGUUGUCCGGAAUUAUUGGGCGUAAAGAGCUCGUAGGCGGUUUGUUGCGUCGGCUGUGAAAUCCCGAGGCUCAACCUCGGGUCUGCAGUCGAUACGAGCAAACUAGAGUGUUGCAGGGGAGACUGGAAUUCCUGGUGUAGCGGUGAAAUGCGUAGAUAUCCGAAAGAACACCGGUGGCGAAGGCGGUGGUCUGGGCCUGAACUGACGCUGAGGAGCGAAAGCCAGGGGAGCAAACGGG